UACGUAGGUGGCAAGCGUUGUCCGGAAUUAUUGGGCGUAAAGCGCGCGCAGGCGGUCCCUUAAGUCUGAUGUGAAAGCCCACGGCUCAACCGUGGAGGGUCAUUGGAAACUGGGGGACUUGAGUGCAGAAGAGAAGAGUGGAAUUCCACGUGUAGCGGUGAAAUGCGUAGAGAUGUGGAGGAACACCAGUGGCGAAGGCGACUCUUUGGUCUGUAACUGACGCUGAGGCGCGAAAGCGUGGGGAGCAAACAGG
rnacentral:rRNA from 1 species